rnacentral:tRNA from 1 species
GCGAAAGUAACUUAAUGGUAAAGUAUAACCUUGCCAAGGUUAGUAUUGAGGGUUCGAGUCCCUUCUUUCGCU